AUGUAUGUGUGUGUGUGUGUAUUAGGAGGGACGGCACAAAAUGGCGGACGUGACUCUCGUGGAGAGUACGUCACGCGAGAUUUCUGGUUAGAGAUUAUGCCCACGAAUGUGGGCAGAGAGAAGGCUGUAAAUAGCAUCUGCCCAUUUACCGCGUCUCCGCUUGUAUGAUAGCUUAGGGUCAAAGCUGAGCUUUAUCACGAAGUUAUCUACUAGCCAAAAGUGUGUGAGAAUGUUUGUGAGGGGUCGCGUGUGUGUGUGGUUAGUACCAGAGAGAGAAAGAAUAAAGUGGUGGCACCAAAGCCGGUUUCGCGAUCGUGGGAGAGAAAGCAGCUGUUAGUUUAUCACUCAGAGACGCGGUGGACGGCUCGUAAACCGUCCCAUGGUCUUUGGUUCUUUAAUGGAUAAACUCAAUGUCGGUCUCACCCGCGAUGGCGGAAAUACACAACAGUCCAAUGUGGUUCGACUACAACACAGCAGAUCUCAUUCGUGAUAACAGUACAUUACAAUAAUACCUUGAGUAUUAUUAGCAGCAAUGAGCAGACUCAGCGGUCCAUAACUGUACAAGCAAUAACCUUGAUACACAAGAAUAACACACUAUAAUAUUCUAUCUCUGCCCAGACGUAAACCUCUUAUUUGAAUGGUAUGAGGACGUAGACGAAUGUGUGUACAUCCAUCCUUUAACUCUGACUCAGGUCCUCGAGGCUCGGGUGAUGACGGGAGGCUAUUUCCUCGCUCUGUCGGCGGGCGGUAUGGCUGCUGAUUCUCGGCGGGCUGCCGGAGAAAUCAGCGACGUCGACUUGAUUGAAGAUGGAAGAGAAAUCUUUUCUCUUCAGUUCUGCAGGCGAACGGAUGAAGAUGCUGAUUGCUUGGCAGUCUCUUUCGGAUCUGUUAGUGUUUGGUGGAACACAGAGUAAUCUCAACUCAUCCAGCGAGACGAGUUGAGAUUUAUUUUGAAAUAAAUGAGGACCAGUAUUUUUCCUAAACAGGUUUCAUGAGAAUUACCCAAUAAAUAAUCUAAUAACUGACACAGUAACUAAUCUAAAACUAAUAUCUGAUCUGACUGUCUUGUUGUAUUCCGAUGCUUGUCAAUUGUGCCACAUGUAUUUUCUAGUUGUUGUUGUUUUUUUCUAGAUUGCAUCACAGUUCCCACCUGAAGAGGUUUAUCUCCUGACAGCCUCUUCCUUGGUGAAGACGUUAACAAAUUUCAAAAAGGUGUCAAAGACCUUGGAGAAAUUUGAUACAGAGGAACAGCCAUCUAGCAUUAAAGAAAAAGUAGAAGAAAAAUAUCCCAAUCUGAAAGUCAUCAAGUCUGCAGUCAGCAUCCUGCGAGCAAAGGAGCAUCUAUUACAGACAAAGAAUGGCCAGACGUUCUGUUACAAAAAGAUUUGUCUCCGCAGAGGGGCCAGACCCAAGCUCUUAACCCAAAACAACAAUCAUGUGCUGGGCAUAUGAGACACAGACAGUGCUAUUACACUGGCACUCAAUAUUUUUAACACUUUAAGAUGACACGUAUAGGUUUGCUUGUUUUUUUUUAAAUUUAUUUUUUAUUUAUUUUUUUGUACAUCCAUGAGUCAUAUAUGUUUGGCAUACGAAAUGCGACAACUGUGGUUAAU